AAAUCUUGUUAUCAUUUUGUGCAAAGGAGUGGGCAAUCUAUAGUUGUCUUCAUCUAUGAUCUAUGUACCCUAUCUAUGUAUAGUAUGUAUAGUAUGUAGUCUGUGUAUGUACCAUAGAGAAAGUAAAAUAAUUAUUUUACUUACUCUAUGGUAUGUACUAGACCUCGUCAUCUGGUGGACAAGCGUUUCAGUGACGAAAUGGUUGACUGCUUCAGUAUUGAAGAACAAUCAAUUAGUAAAAUUAAAAUUACGGUCUGGUAGAAAUGCAAGUGGCCUUCCUCGAGCUUCUUUGGAAACAGUCAAGAUUCUUUUUUUAGACUGCGUGAAAAGUUUAAUAAACAAGUCGUACUGAGAAAUCGCUUUGCUCCGUAUCAAAGACGUGGCAAAAGUGCUGCCAGUGCGGUUUGUUGAACGGUGUGUGCUUGAAAACGUUGCACACAUCUGAAAGAUAAGCCAAAUUGCAAUUGUCUUGCUAGCCACGCUCUGGUUCUGCUUUAGCGUUUCGGUUGCUGGGGCUGACGAUUACUGCUUCAAAGGAGGAAAAGACAACGAAAAACAGGCCAGAAUUCACCAUGCCAGAGCACACUACUGUAACAGUAACUGGACCACCAAUGCGGCCAGCAGGAUCUUGUCCUGUUUGUGGAGGAGGUUCUUGGACUGGAACCUACUCGUGCAUGGCAUGGCUGCUCUGUUUAUUCUGCUUCUGGAAUUGUGGACUUUGCUGCUGCCUCUGCAUGCGCAAAAAGAAGUGCACCAAGUGCGGAUUUGCUGUUGCAUAAGUCCGAAACAGCAUUACUUAUUAAUUACGUAUAACUGUUAGUUUUAACUUGUUUUUCGGUGCUGUAUACACAUACAUUUCGCAAAGAACCACUAUUCGCUUCUGUCCAGUAUUAAUAGGUUUUACUUCCUUCGAAGUAUUGUAAUUUGUGCUCUACAAAGACGGCGAACCGAGAAAUUGUACUUUUGUCAACUUUGCCUUUGUCGCCAAAUGCCACUUCGUUAGCCUACUGUGCUAGUUUUAAGUAAUUUUUUUAAAAUAAACAACAUUUUAAACCUA